rnacentral:rRNA from 1 species
UGCAUUUUUCCAAAAGCGGAGGAAAAGAAACUAACAAGGAUUCCCCUAGUAACGGCGAGUGAAGCGGGAAGAGCUCAAAUUUGAAAUCUGGCAGUCUUCGAUUGUCCGAGUUGUAAUCUAUAGAGGCGUUUUCCGUGCCGGACCGUGUCCAAGGCUCCUGGAAAGGAGUAUCAAAGAGGGUGAUAAUCCCGUACUUAACACGACCACCGGUGCUCUGUGAUACGUCUUCUACGAGUCGAGUUGUUUGGGAAUGCAGCUCAAAAUGGGUGGUGAAUUCCAUCUAAAGCUAAAUAUUGGCGAGAGACCGAUAGCGAACAAGUACCGUGAGGGAAAGAUGAAAAGCACUUUGGAAAGAGAGUUAAACAGUACGUGAAAUUGUUGAAAGGGAAACGAUUGAAGUCAGUCGUGUUCUUUGGAUUCAGCCAGUUCUGCUGGUCUACUUCCUUGGAACGGGUCAACAUCAGUUUUGUCCGGUGGAUAAAGGUAGUAGGAAUGUGACUUCUCCGGAAGUGUUAUAGCCUAUUAUCACAUACACUGGGUGAGACUGAGGACUGCAGCUCGCCUUUAUGGCCGGCCUUCGGGCACGUUCGAGCUUAGGAUGUUGACAUAAUGGCUUUAAACGACCCGUCUUGACCCCCGGAC